rnacentral:misc_RNA from 1 species
UGUUCUCACUGUUCAUGUUAAUGGCGUGGAUUUGGAGACUGGUGCUCUUUUGCGUGGUAAUUUGCAUUUAAUAGAUCUUGCUGGGAGUGAAAGGGUGGACCGAUCUGAAGCAACUGGAGACAGGUUGAGGGAGGCGCAACACAUAAAUAAAUCACUUUCUGCACUUGGUGAUGUGAUAUUUGCUUUAGCUCAAAAAAAUUCACAUGUGCCUUACAGAAAUAGUAAAUUGACUCAAGUGCUGCAAAGUUCUUUAGGCAGUCAAGCAAAGACCCUCAUGUUUGUCCAGCUUAAUCCUGAUGUAAAUUCCUAUUCUGAAACUAUAAGUACUUUAAAGUUUGCUGAGAGAGUAUCUGGCAUUCAGUUGGGUGCUGCAAGGAGUAACAAAGAAGGAAGGGAUAUUAGAGAACUUAUGAAGCAGGUGACAUCUCUCAAGGACAUUAUUGCAAAGAAAGAUGAAGAGAUCGAGCGGUUGCAGCUGCUUAAGUCUAAUGUCAAUAGUGUGAAGCAUGGUACGAACUCCCAUAGAAGUGAAUCUUAUUCUCCAAGAAGACAUUCAAUUGAGAGUCCACAUCAAAGCCCCAGAACAAGUGGAGGGAAAAGCUUGGGACCUUAUGAUAAAGCGACCUAUGACAUGGAUAAUAGUUCAGAGUAUAGUGAGAAACAUUCUGAACCUGGUUCUCUUCAGGAUGACUACAGACAUCAGAAGGCAUCUCUGCCACCAUCAAAGUCAAUGGAUGACUUAAGACUUCAAAAGGAAUUUCUUCCUCAGUCAAAGCUUAAAAAAGAUGUAAGCCAGAAUCCUAAAGAGGAUAUUGACCUCUUGGGGUUUGGAGAUGCAGAUUCUGACGAGAGAUUAAGUGACAUAUCUGAUGGUGGUCUUUCAAUGGGAACUGAAACUGAAUCUGUUGAGUUCAGUCUUUUUCCUGAGCCUGCACCAUCACCUGGAACUACAAGACCAGCUGAAACUGUUGAACCUACAAAAUCACCUGAAAUUGCCAGACCAGCUGAAGCAGCAAAACCAACUGAGAAAGCAGAGAACACCCAGAAGUGAGUGUACUUAAUACUAGGUUUUAAAUUUUGUAUGAAUCUUAGGGUUUAGACAGUUUUCUGAACUUCAAUAUACAUAUCGUUGCAUUUCAGUUCAUGAAAGAAAUAAAAGUAUUAGCUGCUACAAUACUGCAGACUGAUUUUGAUUUAUAGUUUUCAUACUUGAACUUUGGUACAAGAAUCAUAAAAAACAUUUACAGUGCAAAUGGCUUUGCUUUUUCUGAACCUUAAUGAAUCUUAAUUUCUUGUCAUUGCUAGGUCUAAGCAUUUUAAUUUAUUCUUUAAUACAUACCAUGCAAAUGUUGAGUUUCUUAUGUACACAAGUACAAGGAAAACAUUAAUUGUUUGGGCCAUUAUGUGAUAAUUUUAUUUUAGAUGAAGACAGCAGAGUGUAUUAUAUAUUGCUUCACCUUUAAAAUGGAAUUUGUUUAUUUCUUUUUAAUGCCUUAAAAUUCUAUUCACUUUAUAUCAGAUCAAUAGAUAUUGGUGUAGUCUAAUUGUCAUGGAAUAAAUGCUUAUGUUAGUCCAUGCAUAAGAUAAUUUCAGAUCCGUAGAUAUUGCCAUAGAAUGCAGUUAGACCUUUGUCUUUGCAUUUAUGCAGACAAACUCAUGUAAUGCCUGUUGAAAAUCUUAAAUUUGAUUUUUCUGCUCACCGAACUGUGCUGUGGAAGUUUUCAAGGCCAUGCUGUUGCUAUCUUGAGAAUUUUUUCCGUGCUAUCCAUUCAGCAUAUUUACUAUUCAUUCAUUCUAUGUUCUGGGAUUCUGGACUCCAUAUAAAGCUUUCCUAUUAUAUCAUUGCCUAAGUUAUUUAAUUCAGUUGUUCAUUCUGCAUCAUUUCUACCUUUUCAAUUUUUUCCUUUUUCUAGUUUUUAUAUUCUAGUGCUUGACAUGGAAGGUCUCUUCCCUUACCAAUUAAUAAACCGACCUCAUUCAAAUCAAUCUGACAUUUGAUAGUUUUGUUGGUAACUAGACCAAGUUUUACAUCAAAGCUUCCAAGGCCUCCACAAAAAUUGAUGCAAACAAGAUUGUCACGCUUGUCGUUGAGUAUGAGUUCCACUCCUAGGGCUUCUUCAUCAACACCUAGGAAAACUACUCUUGGUAGUUCGUCCGCAGCCAAACCUCCAAAGAGAUGGCACUAAAUUUGGAGACUUUUUGGAUGGUAAAAAGGAAUUGACACUCACUGUAGUUUGUAAAUUCUAACUU